UACGUAGGAUGCGAGCGUUGUCCGGAAUUAUUGGGCGUAAAGAGCUCGUAGGCGGUUUGUCGCGUCUGCUGUGAAAACUCGGGGCUUAACUCCGGGCCUGCAGUGGGUACGGGCAGACUAGAGUGCGGUAGGGGAGACUGGAAUUCCUGGUGUAGCGGUGAAAUGCGCAGAUAUCAGGAGGAACACCAAUUGCGAAGGCAGCUCGCUGGGACGUUACUGACGCUGAGACGCGAAAGCGUGGGGAGCAAACAGG
rnacentral:rRNA from 1 species